rnacentral:rRNA from 1 species
GUGGGUAGUUUGACUGGGGCGGUCUCCUCCUAAAGAGUAACGGAGGAGCACGAAGGUUGGCUAAUCCUGGUCGGACAUCAGGAGGUUAGUGCAAUGGCAUAAGCCAGCUUGACUGCGAGCGUGACGGCGCGAGCAGGUGCGAAAGCAGGUCAUAGUGAUCCGGUGGUUCUGAAUGGAAGGGCCAUCGCUCAACGGAUAAAAGGUACUCCGGGGAUAACAGGCUGAUACCGCCCAAGAGUUCAUAUCGACGGCGGUGUUUGGCACCUCGAUGUCGGCUCAUCACAUCCUGGGGCUGAAGUAGGUCCCAAGGGUAUGGCUGUUCGCCAUUUAAAGUGGUACGCGAGCUGGGUUUAGAACGUCGUGAGACAGUUCGGUCCCUAUCUGCCGUGGGCGCUGGAGAACUGAGGGGGGCUGCUCCUAGUACGAGAGGACCGGAGUGGACGCAUCACUGGUGUUCGGGUUGUCAUGCCAAUGGCACUGCCCGGUAGCUAAAUGCGGAAGAGAUAAGUGCUGAAAGCAUCUAAGCACGAAACUUGCCCCGAGAUGAGUUCUCCCUGAGACUUAGAGUCUCCUGAAGGAACGUUGAAGACGACGACGUUGAUAGGCCGGGUGUGUAAGCGCAGCGAUGCGUUGAGCUAACCGGUACUAAUGAACCGUGAGGCUUAAC